rnacentral:rRNA from 1 species
GGAGGAAAGCAGGGGAUCGUAAGACCUUGCGCUUUUGGAGUGGCCGAUGCCUGAUUAGCUAGUUGGUGGGGUAAGAGCCUACCAAGGCGACGAUCAGUAGUUGGUCUGAGAGGACGACCAGCCACACUGGGACUGGGACACGGCCCAGACUCCUACGGGAGGCAGCAGUGGGGAAUUUUGGACAAUGGGCGAAAGCCUGAUCCAGCAAUGCCGCGUGAGUGAAGAAGGCCUUCGGGUUGUAAAGCUCUUUCAGUCGAGAAGAAAAGGUUGCGACUAAUAAUCGCAACUUAUGACGGUAUCGACAGAAGAAGCACCGGCUAACUACGUGCCAGCAGCCGCGGUAAUACGUAGGGUGCGAGCGUUAAUCGGAAUUACUGGGCGUAAAGGGUGCGCAGGCGGCUCUGUAAGUCAGAUGUNAAAUCCCCGGGCUUAACCUGGGAAU